rnacentral:rRNA from 1 species
UACGGAGGGAGCUAGCGUUGUUCGGAAUUACUGGGCGUAAAGCGCACGUAGGCGGCUUUGUAAGUUAGAGGUGAAAGCCCGGGGCUCAACCCCGGAAUUGCCUUUAAGACUGCAUCGCUUGAAUCCGGGAGAGGUGAGUGGAAUUCCGAGUGUAGAGGUGAAAUUCGUAGAUAUUCGGAAGAACACCAGUGGCGAAGGCGGCUCACUGGUCCGGUACUGAACGCUGGAGGUGCGAAAGCGUGGGGAGCAAACAGG